rnacentral:rRNA from 1 species
AUGCAAGUCGAGGGGUAGAAGCAGCUUGCUGCUUUGAGACCGGCGCACCGGUGCGUAACGCGUAUGCAAUCUACCUUUUACAGAGGGAUAGCCCAGAGAAAUUUGGAUUAAUACCUCAUAGUAUGUGAGAAUCGCAUGGUUUUCACAUUAAAGUUCCAACGGUAAAAGAUGAGCAUGCGUCCCAUUAGCUAGAUGGUAAGGUAACGGCUUACCAUGGCGACGAUGGGUAGGGGUCCUGAGAGGGAGAUCCCCCACACUGGUACUGAGACACGGACCAGACUCCUACGGGAGGCAGCAGUGAGGAAUAUUGGACAAUGGGCGCAAGCCUGAUCCAGCCAUGCCGCGUGCAGGAUGACGGUCCUAUGGAUUGUAAACUACUUUUGUACAGGAAGAAACACUCCCUCGUGAGGGAGCUUGACGGUACUGUAAGAAUAAGGAUCGGCUAACUCCGUGCCAGCAGCCGCGGUAAUACGGAGGAUCCAAGCGUUAUCCGGAAUCAUUGGGUUUAAAGGGUCCGUAGGCGGUUUAAUAAGUCAGUGGUGAAAGCCCAUCGCUCAACGGUGGAACGGCCAUUGAUACUGUUAAACUUGAAUUAUUAGGAAGUAACUAGAAUAUGUAGUGUAGCGGUGAAAUGCUUAGAGAUUACAUGGAAUACCAAUUGCGAAGGCAGGUUACUACUAAUGGAUUGACGCUGAUGGACGAAAGCGUGGGUAGCGAACAGGAUUAGAUACCCUGGUAGUCCACGCCGUAAACGAUGGAUACUAGCUGUUGGGAGCAAUCUCAGUGGCUAAGCGAAAGUGAUAAGUAUCCCACCUGGGGAGUACGUUCGCAAGAAUGAAACUCAAAGGAAUUGACGGGGGCCCGCACAAGCGGUGGAGCAUGUGGUUUAAUUCGAUG